CCAAAAACAACAAAAAAAAUCUUACAAAA
rnacentral:sRNA from 1 species